UUGAGGCCUUGCUUCAAGGACGUGGUCAAUCAUUGCUCAUUUGUGGGAAGUAGAGACUGAACAGCUCAUCUUUUAUAGAUGGACAGAGAAGGGAAAUCAGAAGAUGCUGGCAACUUGAGAAAUGAAGAUGUCCAUUUCAUGAAAACCAUCUGCAUAACUGGCACUAACGGAAAUCCCAAGUGACAUCUCCAACAAAGAGGAAAUUUGUUCUUCGGAUUGUUUUCCUAUAAAUACAGGAUUCAAACUCUUUUGCCUAUUUCUUGGAAGCAAGGUCUGUAUCCAUCUGACUUUAUAUUUUUAAUCUCUUAACACUGCUUUUGUAACCUAUUUGUAACUCUGCUACUUAUUUUCCAGUGAAAGGUGGUGUGCAAUAAGAAAUGGUAAGCAUACAGGACUCAAACCUGACCAGAAACAGUGUACCGCUGGUAUACCAAUUACUCAGUUGAUUAACACUUGAGUACUUUUUCCUUCUAAAUAGUGCUCCAUACCUGUCCUUUCAUUACAAUAAAAGAUACACUAUAUCUAUCUAUCUAUCUAUCUAUAAAUUGCAGAUAGAGAAGGAUGGGUAGGCAGACUUUUAUCUUAAAUCUAUUUAUUAAUUAAUCUAUUGAUUAUCUCUAAAAUGAACAAGAAAUAACCCAUGAAUGGCUUUCAAUGUUGUCCCCUAUUGAUUCCUGCAAAAAUAGUUCAGAUUUCUUAUACUUACUAAGAUUAAAAAUUAAAGAAGAGUUUUGGGUUGAAUUGGUCAAUUCAUGUUUUUAUUUAUUUUCUUUGUUUCAUUUUUGACCUUUUUCUCUUCAAACUAUUCUUUCUAUCCUAUCAAUGACUUAUUGUGCCUCAAGAGAAUUGAAUUUUGUUUCAAUUUGAACUUUUUGACAUAGAAAAAUGUUAGAACAUGAAAGUUAUGGGAAAAAAAAAAAAAAACAAAAACAAACAAACAAAAAAACAAAAAAACUACCUUAAAAAUUGCAUUCCAAAACACAGUAUCAGAAUUUGUUGAUGGAAAAAUAAAGUAAUAGAAAGCUCUUAAAAAGUUGCUAUAUCAUGUCGUUAUUAUUAUUAUUAUUAUUAUUAUUAUUAUUAUUAUUAUUAUUAUUAUUAUUAUUAUUAUUAUUAUUAUUAUUAUUAUGUAUUAUAUCUGUUGGAGGGGCAGCACAGGCAAUCCAGGCAAUCCAGGAGGUUCUUGGAAUACACCAAUGAUAACUUCCCCCAAGUGAUAGAGGAGACAACAAGGACAGGUGUUAUGCUGGACCUCAUUCUCAACAACAAAGAGGGACUGGUAAGGAACAUGAAGCCAAAGGGCAUCUUUGGAUGCAGUGCCCAUGAAAUGGCAGAGUUUAGGAUCCUGGGAGCAGCAAGGAGGGAGCACAGCAACCUCACUACCUUGGAUUUUGAGAGAACAGACUUUGGCCUCUUCAGGGAUCUGCUUGUUAGAGCACCACAAGACAAAGCCCUGAAGGGAAGAGGGACCCAAGAAAGCUAGUUAAUAUUCAAGAUUCACCUACUCUAAGUGAUGCAUGGCAAUAAAGAGGAAGUCAGGCAAAAUCACAAGAAGGUCUGCAUGGAUGAACAAGGAACUCCUGGCCAAACUCUUACGAACAAGCCAAGCCAAACCAAACCAAACCAAACAAACCAGACCAGACCAAAUCAGACCAAACCAAAACAAAUAUACAGAUCCUUCAGAGGAAAGCAAGGACAGAGAGCCUGGGAGGAAUACAGAGACAUUGUUAAAACAUCUAGGGUUCAGGUUAGGAAAAUUAAAGCCCUAUUAAAUUUAGCCAGAGAAGUCAAGGGCAACAAGAAGGGCUUCUAGAACAUGAGUGGGAACAUGAAGAAUAGGGAAAAAGCAGUUCCUUUGCUGAAAUGACAGACCUGGGUACUAAAACAUGGAGAAGUCUGAGACAUUCAGCAACUUUUUAAUAUUGGUCUUCACCAGCUUAAGUCACAAAAACUGAAGACAGUCACAAGGAGAAUGAAGUACCACCGACUACAGGAGAAGAUCAGAUUCAUGACCUUCAAAGACACUUGAAUGAACACAAGUCACAAAAUCACACAGAAUCACAGAAUUUCUAGGUUGGAAGAGACAUCAAGAUCAUCGAGUACAGCCUCUGACCUAACGCUAACAGUCACCACUAAACCAUAUCCCUAAGCUCUACAU